rnacentral:rRNA from 1 species
AGUCGAACGAUGAAGCCUAGCUUGCUAGGUGGAUUAGUGGCGAACGGGUGAGUAACACGUGAGCAACCUGCCCCGAACUUUGGGAUAAGCGCUGGAAACGGCGUCUAAUACCGAAUACGCACCAUGGCGGCAUCGUCAAUGGUGGGAAAGAUUUUUCGGUUCGGGAGGGGCUCGCGGCCUAUCAGCUUGUUGGUGAGGUAAUGGCUCACCAAGGCGUCGACGGGUAGCCGGCCUGAGAGGGUGACCGGCCACACUGGGACUGAGACACGGCCCAGACUCCUACGGGAGGCAGCAGUGGGGAAUAUUGCACAAUGGGCGCAAGCCUGAUGCAGCAACGCCGCGUGAGGGAUGACGGCCUUCGGGUUGUAAACCUCUUUUAGUAGGGAAGAAGCGAGAGUGACGGUACCUGCAGAAAAAGCACCGGCUAACUACGUGCCAGCAGCCGCGGUAAUACGUAGGGUGCAAGCGUUAUCCGGAAUUAUUGGGCGUAAAGAGCUCGUAGGCGGUUUGUCGCGUCUGCUGUGAAAACUAGAGGCUCAACUUCUAGCUUGCAGUGGGUACGGGCAGACUAGAGUGCGGUAGGGGAGAUUGGAAUUCCUGGUGUAGCGGUGGAAUGCGCAGAUAUCAGGAGGAACACCGAUGGCGAAGGCAGAUCUCUGG